AGCUCCAAUAGCGUAUAUUAAAGUUGUUGCAGUUAAAAAGCUCGUAGUUGGAUUUCUGGUAGGAGCGGCCGAUCCGCCCCGUUAGGGGUGUGCAUUAGCGCUGUCUCUGGCCAUCCUUGGGGGAACUGCGCGGGGAGACUUGCGUUCGGGAACCCAUCGUUUACUGUGAAAAAUUAGAGUGUUUAAAGCAGGCUUAUGCCGUUGAAUACAUUAGCAUGGAAUAAUAAGAUAGGACCGCGUGGUCGUCUUGUUGGUUUGCACCGCGAGGUAAUGAUUAAUAGGUACAGUUGGGGGUAUUCGUAUUUAAUUGUCAGAGGUGAAAUUCUUGGAUUUAUGAAAGACGAACUUCUGCGAAAGCAUUUACCAAGGAUGUUUUCA
rnacentral:rRNA from 1 species